CCUACGGGAGGCAGCAGUAGGGCAUAUUGCUCAAUGGGGGAAACCCUGAAGCAGCAACGCCGCGUGGAGGAUGAAGGUUUUCGGAUUGUAAACUCCUUUUGUUAGAGAAGAUAAUGACGGUAUCUAACGAAUAAGCACCGGCUAACUCCGUGCCAGCAGCCGCGGUAAUACGGAGGGUGCAAGCGUUACUCGGAAUCACUGGGCGUAAAGAGCGCGUAGGCGGGAUAGCAAGUCAGAUGUGAAAUCCUAGGGCUUAACCAUAGAACUGCAUUUGAAACUGUUAUUCUAGAGUAUGGGAGAGGUAGGUGGAAUUCUUGGUGUAGGGGUAAAAUCCGUAGAGAUCAAGAGGAAUACUCAUUGCGAAGGCGACCUGCUAGAACAUAACUGACGCUGAUGCGCGAAAGCGUGGGGAGCAAACAGGAUUAGAUACCCCUGUAGUC
rnacentral:rRNA from 1 species